rnacentral:rRNA from 1 species
GACGAACGCUGGCGGCGUGCUUAACACAUGCAAGUCGAACGGAAAGGCUCGGCUUGUUUUGGUUGCUCUGGUGGCUAACGGGUGAGUAACACGUGAGUAACGUGCCGUUUACUUUGGGAUAAUUUCAGGAAACGGUGGCUAAUACCGGAUAUGAGCUCUUGCUUCAUGGUGGGGGUUGGAAAGUUUCGGCGGUGUGGGAUGUACUCGCGGCUUAUCAGCUUGUUGGUGGGGUAGUGUAUUACCAAGGCUUUGACCGGUAGCCGGCCUGAGAGGGUGACCGGAACGAUUGGGACUGAGAUAAGGCACAGACUAAUCCGGGAGGGAGCAGUGCGGAAUAGAGUACUAUGGGAGGAAGCCUGCCGUAACACAGCCGCGUGGCGGAUGACGGGCAUCAGGUUGUAACCUAAUUUUGCCUGUGACGAGAAGUGAGUGACGGUAAUGGGUAAAGAAGCACCGGCUAAAUACGUG